GAGUUUGAUCAUGGCUCAGGAUGAACGCUAGCGGCAGGCUUAACACAUGCAAGUCGAGGGGUAUAGUUCUUCGGAAUUAGAGACCGGCGCACGGGUGCGUAACGCGUAUGCAAUCUACCUUUCACAGAGGGAUAGCCCAGAGAAAUUUGGAUUAAUACCUCAUAGUAUAACGACUCCGCAUGGAGAUGUUAUUAAAGUCACAACGGUGAAAGAUGAGCAUGCGUCCCAUUAGCUAGUUGGUAAGGUAACGGCUUACCAAGGCUACGAUGGGUAGGGGUCCUGAGAGGGAGAUCCCCCACACUGGUACUGAGACACGGACCAGACUCCUACGGGAGGCAGCAGUGAGGAAUAUUGGACAAUGG
rnacentral:rRNA from 1 species